GCCAGGCGUGGUGGCGCACGCCUGUAAUCCCAGCUACUCAGGAGGCUGAGGCAGGAGAAUUGCUUGAAGCUGGGAGGCAGAGGUUGCAGUGAGCCGAGAUCGCACCACUGCACUCUAGCCUGGGUGACAGAGCGAGACUCUGUCUCCA
rnacentral:SRP_RNA from 1 species